CGGACUCGAGAUCAGCCCUCCCAAGAGAGAUUAGGGCUUGGCGGCGGCUCCGUAUCGUAAAACGCGAUGAAUCCUUCUCUCUGAUCUUUUUCUCCCUGAAUGUGAAUAUAUAGAGUUGGAGUUGAGGUCGGUGGAGCCUCAGGGGGCCCACGAGGCAGGGGGCACGCCCCAGGGGGGGUGGGCGCACCCUCCACCCUCGUGGACAGGGUGUGGGCCCCCUGUGUUGAUUCUUUUGCCAGUAUUUUUUAUAUAUUCCAAAAAUAUUCUCCGAGAAGUUUCAGGUCAUUCCGAGAACUUUUAUUUCUGCACUAAAAUAACACAAUGGCAAUUCUGCUGAAAACAGCGUCAGUCCGGGUUAAUUCCAUUCAAAUCAUGCAAGUUAGAGUCCAAAACAAGGGCAAAAGUGUUUGGAAAAGUAGAUACGAUGGAGAUGUGUCAACUCCCCCAAGCUUAAACCUUUGCUUGUCCUCAAGCAAUUCAGUUGACAAACUGAAAGUGAUUAAGAAAAACUUUUACAAACUCUUUUUGCUCUUGUUUUUGUAAAUAUGUAAAGCCAACAGUCAAGUUUUCAGCAAAGAUUAUGAACUAACCAUAUGCAUAAUAACACUUGGGUCUCAUGUUUACUCAUAUCAAUGGCAUAAUCAACUAGCGAGUAAUAAUAAUAAAUCUCAGAUGACAACACUUUCUCAAAACAAUCACAAUAUGAUAUAAGAAGAUGGUAUCUUGCUAGCCCUUUCUGAGACCGCAAAACAUAAAUGCAUAGCACCUCUGAAGAUCAAGGACUAACUAGACAUUGUAAUUCAUGGUAAAAGAGAUCUAGUCAUAGUCAUACUCAAUGUAAAUUACUAGUAAUGCAUGCAAAUGAGAGUGGUGCUCUCCAACUGGUGCUUUUUAAUAAGGGGAUGAUGACUCAACAUAAAAGUAAAUAGAUAUGGCCUUCGCAGAGGGAAGUAGGGAUUUGCAGAGGUGCCAGAGCUCGAGUUUUGAAACAGACAUAAAUAACAUUUUGAGUGGCAUACUUUCAUUGUCAACAUAACAACCAAGAGAUCUCGAUAUCUUCCAUGAUACGCACAUUAUAGGCGGUUCCCAAACAGAAUGGUAAAGUUUAUACUCCCCCUCCACCAACAAGCAUCAAUCCAUGGCUUGCCCGAAACAACGGGUGCCUCCAACUAACAACAGUCUUGGCGAAGUUUUGUUUGCAAUUAUUUUGAUUUGAGCAUGGGACUGGGCAUCCCGGUGACCAACCAUUUUCUCAUGAGUGAGGAGCGGAGUCCACACCUCUUGAGAAUAACCUGCCUAGCAUGGAAGAUACAGACAUCCCUAGUUGAUACAUGAGCUAUUCGAGCAUACAAAACAGAAUUUCAUUUCAAGGUUUAGAGUUUGGCACAUACGAAUUUACUUGGAACGGUAGGUAGAUACCGCAUAGGAAGGUAUGGUGGACUCAUAUGGAAUAACUUUGGGGUUUAUGGAAGUGGAUGCACAAGCAGUAUUCUCGCUUAGUACAAGUGAAGGCUAGAAAGAUACUGGGAAGCGACCAACUAGAGAGCGACAAUAGUCAUGAACAUGCAUUAAAAUUAAACAACAUUGCAUGCAAGCAUGAGUAGGAUAUAAUUCACCAUGAACAUAAAUAUCGUGGAGGCUAUGUUGAUUUUGUUUCAACUACAUGCGUGAACAUGUGCCAAGUCAGACCACUCAAAUCGUUCAAAGGAGGAUACCACCCUAUCAUACGACAUCACAACCAUUUUAAUAGCAUGUUGGCACGCAAGGUAAACCAUUAUAAACUCCUAGCUAAUUAAGCAUGGCAUGAGCAACUAUAAUCCCUAAUUGUCAUUGCAAACAUGUUUCAUUCAUAAUAGGCUGAAUCAGGAACGAUGAACUAAUCAUAUUUACAAAAACAAGAUAGGUCGAGUUCAUACCAGCUUCUCUCAUCUCAAUCAGUCCAUCAUAUAUCGUAAUUAUUGCCUUUCACUCGCACGACCGAACGGUGUGGAUAAUAAUAAUAGUGCACGUGCAUUGGACUAAGCUGGAAUCUACAAGAAUUUAAUACAAAGGAGAAGAUAAGGUAAUAUGGGUUCUUGGUUAAAUCAACAAUAAUGCAUAUGAGAUCCACUCAACAUUUUCAUCAUGGUCUUCUCCUCUCGACCCCCAAAGAAAACAAAUAAAAUAAAACUAUUUACAUGGGAAAGCUCCCAACAAGCAAAAGAAGAAUGAGAAAUCUUUUUGGGUUUUCUUUUAAUUACUACUACUACAUGCUUGAAAAGUAAAUUAGCUAAAAGCUACAACUAAUUUUACUUUGUUUUUUCUUAAGGUUUUUCAAACAAACAAGAAGAAGCUUAGAAAAGAAAAUAAACUAACAUGGAUAGUACAAUGAAAAAGUAUGAGCACCGACAACUAGAAUGAGUGUGUGAACAUGAAUGUAAUGUCGGUGAGAAAUAUGUACUCCCCCAAGCUUAGGAUUCUGACCUAAGUUGGUCUAUGCCCACGGAUCAAAAUGGUCCUCUCCAGUGUACUAAGGAGGAUCCUCGGGGUGCCAUUGGUUAGCGAUCUCCUCCGGAUCCCACCGGUAGACAGACUGCCGAUAAGGGUCAAGUGGUGGCUCCGGCUCAGCCUCUGGAGCUGGUGUCACGCUCAAGUAUGCAUGAACGGCCUCCGGCAAAAUGAGGUACGUGCCUGAAAAUAUGUUAAUCAAAGGCGCAGGCAAGGUAAUAAUCUCACAGUAAUUUUUAUCAAAAAUCAAAUUAUACUUAAGUAGUUUCUUCUUAUUUCUAACAAUAAAAUCAUGUGCUACCAUACUCUUAUAAUCUAGAAAAACAGGAGGCAACAACUUUUGUUCUUUCUCAUAAUGCCUAAUAGGUAUAUUAAAGUGCGCUGCAAGGCGCGAAGCAAAGAUGCCUCCAAAGAUGGGGCCCUUUGUACGGUUCAGACAAUCGUUUAGCAAUAAUAGCGCCUAAACUGAAAGUUGUAUCACGAAACAAAGCAUGGCGCAAAAUAACAAUAUCGGGAGCACUAAGAUUUCCACUAUUCCCGCGGCCAAUGAAGCAUCUACUAGCAAAUAUUGCAAAGUAACAUAGAACAGGAAAAUGUAUGCUAGUAAUUCUUGCAUCUGAAACUUUCCUCAUUUCCCCUACAACAAUUUGAUCAAUAAAUCCCUCCACAUCAUUACGGUGUGGUUCUUCUAUGCAUCCCUCAAAGGGUAUCUUGCAUACCUGACAAAAAUCAUAUAGGGACAUCUCCUUAACCUCGUCAUAUAAAUGAAACUCCACUGAAGGUGGUGAUUUCUUAGCAUGAAAGUAAAAAUUUUGCACAAAAAUAUUAGUGAGUAGGAGAUACUGUUCGCACUGGUCGUGGAGGAAGUCGGUGAGGCUUGCAUUCUCAGCCAAGUGAUAAAAAUCAUCAUAAAUUCUAGCGGCUCUCAAGAACUCAUCACAAGGCCAUUCAGGAAGAUUAUAUUUGGGCUUCUUAUUCUCCUCACCUUGCUUAUCCUUUGAGCUUCGGCUCGAAGAGCCCCUCAACAAUCUCCUCAUCAUUUUCUUUCUCUGAAAAUUUUCUGAAAUUUUUAGUAACUCAAAAUAAAAGUGAACUAAACUCAACAAGAUUGAUAGCAACUACUCCCACAAGUGCCUAGAGGCUAUAUCAUGCAUUAAAAACUACUUUGAACCAAAUAAAUUUGGCAUGCAAGCUCAAGAACAGGGUCACCUAAGAAGCAAAAAUUUGCAAUAAAUAAAGGACUAGAACAAAAACUAAUUGGACCAUUGGAGGAGUCACAUACCGAAGAACAAUCCCCGAAAGCAGUUUUGUGAGUGGAGCUUUGAGCAAGGAGAUCGAAAAUCACAGCAAGAAGAGCUAGAACAUGGGUUUGAGCUAUGUGGGAAUUUUUUCUGGAGGAAGAAGAAGUGUGUGGGUGCAGGAAUAAGUGGAGGGGGGCCACAUGGGGUGCACGAGGUAGGGGGGCGCCCCCCAGGGGGGUGGGUGCGCCCUAGACCCUCGUGGCCAGGUGGUUGCCCCCUCUGGUGUGUUCUCAGUGCCAGAUAUUCUUAAAUGUUCUACAAAAAAUCAUAUUUCAUUUUCAAGACAUUUGGAGAACUUUUAUUUUGGGGGUAUUUUUUAUUGCAAGGAUAAUUCAGAAAACAGAUAGAAAAUACUAUUUUUGCUUUAUUUAAUCUAAAUAACAGAAAGUAAAAGGAGGGUACAAAGAGUUGUAAUUUAUAAAUUCAUCGAUCUCAUGCUCAUCAAAAGGAAUCCACUAACAAGGUUGAUCAAGUCUUGUUAACAAACUCUUCGAAUCGCAUGAAACCGGAUAAUUUUCGAAUAGCACUAAGUUACCUCAACGGGGAUAAGCAUGUCCCCAACAAUAAGAAUAUCAUAUUUCUUUUUGACAGUAGGAAGAGGGAAUUCAAAACCUCCAAUAUUAAUCAUUGGAAUUUUUCCAAUAGAAUUGAUACUGUGGACUUGAGGUUGUUUCCUCGGAAAGUGUACCGUAUGCUCAUUACCAUUAACAUGAAAAGUGACAUUGCCUUUGUUGCAAUCAAUAACAGCCCUUGCAAUAUUCAAAAAGGGUCUACCAAGAAUAAUAGACAUACUAUCGUCCUCAGGAAUAUCAAGAAUCAAUGUUGAGGAUAUCGCUUAUCGUUUUCGUCUCGGUCAGCUAGGGAUUAGAGAUUAAUCGGAAAUCGGCCGAUUAAUCGAUUUUAUCGGUCGACUAUUAAUCGGAUAUUUUUUUGCAAAUCUCAGGUUCCCAACACUAAAAUACGCUAUAUUCAACACUAAAACAAUAUCUGACAUAAGUGUUACCCUGAUUUCUAGCCUUUGAAUCCUCGUAAAAUGACAAACAAAAUAGGGCAAUAGUACAUAUUCCGUAACAAGGUCCACAAAACAUAAAUAAACAUAGUUUUUGCCAACAUAGUGCAAUGAAUAGGUCUAAUUUAUCGGUAGAUUCCCAAUAAAUCGCUUGUCAGAAUGAUAAAUUGGUCCAAAACAUAAACGGCAAAGAUAAGGCAUAAUCUUAUCGGUCACCCCCGAUUAGCGAUAAAUCGGAAGAUUAAUUGGUGAAUCGGAAGAUUUCUUGAACAGUGUCAAGAAUAACAAAGUCCGUUAAAAUAGUAACGUUUGCAACCACAACAGGCACAUCCUCACAAAUACCGACAGGUUUAGCAGUUGAUUUAUCGGCCAUUUGCAAAUAUAUUUCAGUAAGUGUCAACUUAUUCAAAUCAAGUCUAAGAUAUAAAGAGAGAGGCAUAACACUAACAUCGGCUACAAGAUCACAUAAAGCAGUUUUAACAUAGUUUCUUUUAAUAGAGCAUGGUAUAGUUGGUACUCCUGGAUCUCCUAGUUUCUUUGGUAUUCCACCUUUAAAAGUAUAAUUGGCAAGCAUGGUAGAAAUUUCAGCUUCAGGUAUAUUUCUUUUAUUUGUAACAAUAUCUUUCAUAUACUUAGCAUAAGGAUUCAUUUUAAGCAUAUCAGUCAAACGCAUACGCAAAAAGAUAGGUCUAAUCAUUUCAGCAAAGCACUCAAAAUCCUCAUCAUCUUUUUUCUUGGAUGGUUUAGGAGGAAAAGGCAUGGGUUUCUGAACCCAUGGUUGUCUUUCUUUACAAUGCUUCCUAGCAACGAAGUCUCUCUUCUCAUAACGUUGAUUCUUUGAUUGUGGGUUAUCAAUGUCAACAGCAGGUUCAAUCUCUACAUCAUUGUCAUUGCUUGAUUGAGCAUCAACAUGAACAUCAUCAUUAAUAUUAUCACUAAGUUCAUGUUCAUUACCAGAUUGUGUUUCAGCAUUAGAAAUAGAAAUAUCAUUGGGAUUCUCAAGUGUGUCAACAACAGGUUCACUAGAAUCAUGCAAAGUCCUAUCAUUUAUCUUUUUCUUGUUGUUAGAAGGACUAGGUACACCAACAUUAGUUCUCUAAGAAUCUUGCUCAAUUCUCUUAGGGUGGCCCUCAGGAUACAAAGGUUCCUGAGUCAUUUUACCCCCUCUAGUCAUAACUCUAACAACAUUAUCAUUUUUCUUAUUAUUUAAUUCAUUGAGCAAAUCAUUUUGAGCUUUAAGCACUUGUUCUACUUGAGUGGUAAACAUAGAAGCAUGUUUACUAAUAAGUUUAAGUUCACCUUUAACUCUAGACAUAUAGUCACUCAAGUUUUCAAUCAUAUAAGCAUUACGUUUCAAUUGUUUACCAACAUAAGCACUAAAGUUUUCUUGUUUAACAAUAAAAUUAUCAAACUCAUCCAAGCAUUGACUAGCAAACUUAGUAGAUGGGAUUUCACACUUAUCAAAUCUAUAUAGAAUUUACCUCCACUACCUGUGUCGGUUUAUCAAGACCAUGUAUUUCUUCAAUAGGGGGUAAAUUCUUAACAUCUUCAGCUUUAAUACCUUUUUCUUUCAUAAAUUUAUUUGCCUCUUGCAUAUCUUUAGGACUGAGAAAUAGAAUACCCCUUUUCUUCAGAGUUGGCUUAGGAGUUGGUUCAGGAAGUGUCCAAUUAUUCUCAUUACUAAACAUAUUAUUCAACAGCAAUUCAGCUUGAUCAACUGUUGUUUCCCUGAAAACACAACCAGCACAACUAUCCAGGUGGUCUCUGGAAGCAUCGGUUAGUCCAUUAUAAAAGAUAUCAAGUAUUUCAUUUUUCUUGAGAGGAUGAUCAGGCAAAGCAUUAAGUAAUCGGAGAAGCCUCCCCCAAGCUUGUGGGAGACUCUCUUCUUCAAUUUGCACAAAAUUAUAUAUUUCCCUUAAGGAAGCUUAUUUCUUAUGAGCGGGAAAAUAUUUAGCAGAGAAGUAAUAAAUCAUAUCCUGGGGACUACGCACACAACCAGGAUCAAGAGAAUUAAACCAUGUUUUAGCAUCACCCUUUAAUGAGAACGGAAAUAGCUUAAGGAUAUAGCAGUAACGAUUUUUUUCCUCAUGAGUGAAUAGGGUGGCUAUAUCAUUCAAUUUAGUAAGAUGUGCCACAAUAGUUUCAGAUUCAUAGCCAUAAAAAGGAUCAGAUUCAACCAAAGUAAUUAACUCAGGAUCGACAGAGAAAUCAUAAUCCUUAUUAGAAAUACAGAUAGGUGAAGUAGCAAAACAGGGUCAUAUUUCAUUCUAGCAUUCAAAGACUUUUCUUUCAGCUUAACCAACAGUUUCUUAAGAUCAUAUCUAUCUUUGCAAGCAAAAAUAUCUCUAGCAGUUUCUUCAUCCAUAACAUAAACCUCAGGUACAUCAGGCAAUUCAUAUCUAGGGGGAGAAUCUUCAUCAUAACUUUCAUCAAUAUUAUCAGUUUCAAUAAUUUCAUUCUCUCUAACCCUAGCAAGGUGUUCAUCAAGAAAUUCACCUAAUGGCACAUUAUUAUCAAGCAUAUAAGUAGUUUCAUCAUAAGUAUCAUGCAAAGCAGAAGUGGCAUCAUCAAUAACAUGCGACAUAGCACAAUCAAUAGCAGGAGUAGGUGUCGCAAGUUUACUCAUAACAGAAGGUGAAUCAAGUGCAGAGCUAGAUGGCAGAUUUUUACCUCCCCUUGUAGUUGAGGGAUAAAUCUUGUUUUUUCAUCUUUCAACUUCCUCAUAAUGAUCAGCAGAUAGAAAUCCCAAAUGACUCAAAUAAUAGAGCUAUGCUCCCCAGCAACAGCGCCAGAAAGUAGUCUUGAUAACCCAUAAGUAUAGGGGAUCGCAACAGUUUUCGAGGGUAGAGUAUUCAACCCAAAUUUAUUGAUUCUACACAAGGGUAGCCAAAGAAUAUUCUCAAGUAUUAGCAGCUGAGUUGUCAAUUUAACCACACCUGGAAGACUUAAUAUCUGCAGCAAAGUAUUUAGUAGCAAAGUAGUAUGGAAGUAACGGUACCAGUGGCAAAUGUAAUAAUAGCAGUUUUGUAGUAAUUGUAACAGUGGCAACAGAAAAGUAACUAAGCAAGAUCAAUAUGUGAAAAUCUCAUAGGCAAUGGAUCAAUGAUGGAUAAUUAUGUCGGAUGUGAUUCCUCGUGCAACAGUUAUAACAUAGGGUGACACAGAACUAGCUCCAAUUCAUCGAUAUAAUGUAGGCAUGUAUUCCGAGUAUAGUCAUACGUGCUUCUGGAAAAGAACUUGCAUGACAUAUUUUGUCCUACCGUCCCAUGGCAGCGGGGUCCUAGUGGAAACUAAGGGAUAUUAAGGCCUCCUUUUAAUAGAGUACCGGACCAAAGCAUUAACACUUAGUGAAUACAUGAACUCCUCAAACUACGGUCAUCACCGGGAGUGGUCUCGAUUAUUGUCACUUCGGGGUUACCGGAUCAUAACACAUAGUAGGUGACUAUUGACUUGCAAGAUAGGAUCAAGAACUCACAUAUAUUCAUGAAAACAUAAUAGGUUCAAAUCUGAAUUCAUGGCAUUUGGUCCCUAGUGACAAGCAUUAAGUGCAAAGUCAUAGCAACAUCAAUCUCAGAACGUAGUGGAUACUAGGGAUCAAACCCUAACAAAACGAACUCGAUUACAUGAUAAAUCUCAUCCAACCCAUCACCGUCCAGCGAGCCUACGAUGGAAUUACUCACGCACGGCGGUGAGCAUCAUGAAAUUGGUGAUGGAGGAUGGUUGAUGAUGACGACGGCGACGGAUUCCCCUCUCCGGAGCCCCGAACAGACUCCAGAUCAGCCCUCCCGAGAGAGAUUAGGGCUUGGCGGCGGCUCCGUAUGAUAAAUCCUUCUAUUUGAUUUUUUUCUCCCCAAACGUGAAUAUAUACAGUUGGAGCUAAGGUCGAUGGAUACUCAGGGGGCCCACGAGGCAGGGGGCACGCCCUAGGGGGGAGGUCGCACCCUCCACCAUUGUGGACAGGUUGUGGGCCCCCUGGUGUUGAUUCUUUCGCUAGUAUUUUUUUAUAUAUUCCAAAAAUAUUCUCCGUGAAGUUUCAGGUCAUUUCGAGAACUUUUAUUUCUGCACAAAAAUAACACCAUGGCAAUUCUGCUGAAAAC
rnacentral:lncRNA from 1 species